UACGUAGGGUCCGAGCGUUGUCCGGAUUUAUUGGGCGUAAAGAGCGUGUAGGCGGUCAGGUAGGUCCGUUGUGAAAACUCGAGGCUCAACCUCGAGACGCCGAUGGAAACCAUCUGACUAGAGUCCGGAAGAGGAGAGUGGAAUUCCUGGUGUAGCGGUGAAAUGCGCAGAUAUCAGGAAGAACACCCGUGGCGAAGGCGGCUCUCUGGGACGGUACUGACGCUGAGACGCGAAAGCGUGGGGAGCGAACAGG
rnacentral:rRNA from 1 species